ensembl:lncRNA
GGUUCAAGUCCCAGCUCUGCCACUUGGACAAGUUAUGCAACCUUCUGUGCCUCAAUUCUCUCAUCUCUAAAGUGGGACUAAAGAAUAGCACCUACUUUUUCACAGUGUUAUAAAAUCUAAAUAAGAUAUGUCAAGCAUUAGGACAGCGUCUAGCACAGGGUAAGUACAAUAAAGUAUUAAUUCUUUGCUCUCUUUCUUUAUAGCACUUUGUACAACCUGGUAUUGUUUGUCUAUUUGUUCAAUAUUUGUCUCCCCCAAGAGAGUGGGAGCUGCUCAAGGGCAGGCUCCUCCUUUGCUCAUUACUCUGUUUCAGCACCUAGAGGGCUUGAAGAGUGUUUGUGGAAUCCAGGAGGGAGUCCCACCUUCCUUCUUCCCAGGCGGCAGUUUCAUUGAUCUCCAUGGUCUUGGAGAAUAAAAUGCAGCUCCCAGGCCCUCAUCAUCUUCUAACCUCUGUCACCCUGGCUCAUGAUCCCACUCUGGCACCACAGAGCCCUCUGUAACACCAAAGCCAAAUCCUAGAAUACAAUUCAGUGGUCUGAGACCGUGUCAUAAAAUUUUGCAAUUCUAGAAUUCAUAGAUUCCUAGAAUGGACUCUAGGAUUUGGAGAAUUCCAGAACGGAGCUCUGGAAUCUCAGAAUGUCAUCUGAGAAUGGCUGAUAGGACCUAGGAAUCUUGGAAAGGAGGGCCAGAAUUUCAGAAGAGACUCUUGGAAUCGGGUCAUUGGGAGAACGUGCACCUCGCCUGCCUUCUCAGGGACCCAGUGGUGAAGUGCCCUUGGUGGAAUCUUGGGAUUCUCGAAGGAGAAGAUGCCCACCAGAGUGCAGCAUUCCUGAGGUCCUCGGUGGCAGGAUGGCUUCCAAAGAUCCCAGCCGGCUGGAUUCCGCCAACAUCACCUCCUCGGAGAAGCCUUCCGGGCCUAGGCUGACCCUGCCCAGGCUCCCACCAGGCUCCACUGGACCCUCUCCCGGCCUGCGGUUGUCGGAGCCAGCGUCAUUCUCCCCCUCUCAGCGGGGAAAGACACAGGUGUGCACAAGGUCAGUGCUUGCCCAUUGCUGCCUCCAUUCACCGAACCCCAAGGAAUAAUAACACAUAUUUAUGGAGACCGUGUGAUGUCCCAGGCUCAGGCCUCUCCUUGGAUUAUGUCGUCCAAAACUCAUAACCCCUCCAUGAAAUGGUCCUGUUAUUAUCUCCA